CCCCCCCCCCCCCCCCCCCCAAAACCCAACGUCACCUGCACCUGUGCCACAGCUCCAGCCAGGAACAGAAAUGAGAAGCAUGUUACCCAUAUGACAGCAGGCGGGCCCCCAGCGGCUCGGGCUUCAGGUGUGAUUUCUAAAGGGUCACGGAGGGCUGGAGCCAAUCCCAGCUGACAUUGGGCGAAAGGCGGGGUGCCCCCUGGACAGGUCGCCAGUCCAUCGCAGUAACUCACACUUAACAGAGCCAUGGCUGGGAGACCCUGGGGUGAAAAGGAUCCUCCUCCAGAUGUCGUGAUGGAAAGUCACAGCUGUAUGACGCAAAUGCUCCUCCUCCUCCAUCGCUACCCUGAUUUGUUCUUUUUCAAUCCCUGUCUCUUUCUGUAAAUGGAUUACAGAUCCUCUACCUCCUGCUCACGUGCCGCUCUUACAAGGUCUUAAUCCCUGUGGGUUUCAUUCACAGUUGUCCCUGUGCUGUACAGAGUGGACUCAUCGCCCUAUCAGAGCUUCUUUAUUGUUAGUUUUGUCAAUGAAAAUGAUUAACGACUAAAGUAUCAAUCAGAAAAUAAUGGCGUUGACAAUAAAAUACCCCAAUAUGAGGAUUCUAACUAAAUUACUUGUCAGUGAAAGAUGGUUACAGGAUUACUUCCAGCCAGUCUGACACUGUGAGCCACCCGUUUCAAAUUGCAUACACUCA